UUGGGGGGGCUGGAAUGGAUUUGGGGGGGUUUGGAGGGGAUUUGGGGGGAAUUUGGGAAGAUUUUGGGAGACUGGGAGGGGUCUGAGGAGAAAUUUUGGGGUCCAAGGUGGAAUUUUGGGCCACACAGAGGAUCUGGGGGAAUUGGAAAGAUUUUUGGGGGAUCCAGGAGGGAAUUUUGGGGCAGAAUCUGAAAAUCCUAAAGAAAAUUUUUAUAAAUAUCAGAAAAAUCCAGAUUUUUUGGGAACGGGGAAAAGACCCAGGAAGAUUUUGGGGUUUCAGGACAGAUUUUAGGCGCUUUUGGGGACCCCAAAAUUGCCAUUUUUUGCCCCAAAAAGGAAAGUGAAGACCCUGGGGGAGGAGGAGCCCUGGCUGGACGACGCGGCCGCGUGGAUCGAGCGCAGCCGGGCGCUCCAGAGGGAGAAAGAACUGGCGGAAAAAAGGGCCAAGCUGCUGGAGGAGAUGGAUCAGGAGUUCGGUGUCAGCCCCUUGGUGGAGGAGGAGUUCCAGCGGCGGCGGCGGGAGCGUUACAGCGCCCGGGACCUGCAGGGGCUGACGGUGGAGCACGACCCGGCCUCGAUCCCCGAGGGACAAACGCUGGUGCUGACCCUGAAGGACAGGGGUCAGUGGGGACAGGGGGGACAUUUGGGGACAUUGGGGACACUGGGGUCAGUGGGGACAGGGGGGACACUGGGGACACUGGGGACACUGGGGUC
rnacentral:lncRNA from 1 species